rnacentral:rRNA from 1 species
GACGAACGCUGGCGGCGUGCUUAACACAUGCAAGUCGAACGGAAAGGCCUUUUCGGAGGUACUCGAGUGGCGAACGGGUGAGUAACACGUGGGUGAUCUGCCCUGCACUCUGGGAUAAGCCUGGGAAACUGGGUCUAAUACCGGAUAGGACCGCACUUUAGUGUGUGUGGGGGAAAGAUUUUUCGGUGUAGGAUGUGCCCGCGGCCUAUCGGAUUGUUGGUGGGGUAAUGGCCUACCAAGGCGGCGGCGGGUAGCCGGACUGAGAGGUUGGGCGGCCACAUUGGGACUGAGAUACGGCCCAGACUCCUACGGGAGGCAGCAGUGGGGAAUAUUGCACAAUGGGCGCAAGCCUGAUGCAGCGACGCCGCGUGGGGGAUGACGGCCUUCGGGUUGUAAACCCCUUUCGCCAGGGACGAAGCGUUUUGUGACGGUACCUGGAGAAGAAGCACCGGCUAACUACGUG